rnacentral:tRNA from 2 species
GCGGGAGUAGCUCAGUUGGUAGAGCCCCUCGUUGCCAACGAGGCUGUCGCCGGUUCGAGUCCGGUCUCCCGCUCCA